rnacentral:rRNA from 1 species
GAUGAACGCUAGCGGGAGGCCUAACACAUGCAAGCCGAGCGGUAUUGUUUCUUCGGAAAUGAGAGAGCGGCGUACGGGUGCGUAACACGUGUGCAACCUGCCUUUAUCUGGGGGAUAGCCUUCCGAAAGGAAGAUUAAUACUCCAUAAUAUAUUGAACGGCAUCGUUUAAUAUUGAAAGCUCCGGCGGAUAGAGAUGGGCACGCGCAAGAUUAGCUAGUUGGUGAGGUAACGGCUCACCAAGGCGAUGAUCUUUAGUGGGCAUGAGAGGGUGAUCCCCCCCACGGGUACUGGGACACGGACCAGACUCCUACGGGAGGAAGCAGUGAGGAAUAUUGGUCAAUGGGUGCAAGCCUGUACCAGCCAUCCCGCGUGAAGGACGACUGCCCUAUGGGUUGUAAACUUCUUUUGUAUAGGGAUAAACCUACCCUCGUGAGGGUAGCUGAAGGUACUAUACGAAUAAGCACCGGCUAACUCCGUGCCAGCAGCCGCCGUAA